rnacentral:rRNA from 1 species
GUGAGUAACACGUGGGUGAUCUGCCCUGCACUCUGGGAUAAGCUUGGGAAACUGGGUCUAAUACCGGAUAUGACCACAGCGCGCAUGUGUUGUGGUGGAAAGAUUUAUCGGUGCAGGAUGGGCCCGCGGCCUAUCAGCUUGUUGGUGGGGUAAUGGCCUACCAAGGCGACGACGGGUAGCCGACCUGAGAGGGUGACCGGCCACACUGGGACUGAGACACGGCCCAGACUCCUACGGGAGGCAGCAGUGGGGAAUAUUGCACAAUGGGCGGAAGCCUGAUGCAGCGACGCCGCGUGAGGGAUGAAGGCCUUCGGGUUGUAAACCUCUUUCAGCAGGGACGAAGCGUGAGUGACGGUACCUGCAGAAGAAGCACCGGCUAACUACGUGCCAGCAGCCGCGGUAAUACGUAGGGUGCGAGCGUUGUCCGGAAUUACUGGGCGUAAAGAGUUCGUAGGCGGUUUGUCGCGUCGUUUGUGAAAACCCGGGGCUCAACUUCGGGCUUGCAGGCGAUACGGGCAGACUUGAGUGUUUCAGGGGAGACUGGAAUUCCUGGUGUAGCGGUGAAAUGCGCAGAUAUCAGGAGGAACACCGGUGGCGAAGGCGGGUCUCUGGGAAACAACUGACGCUGAGGAACGAAAGCGUGGGUAGCAAACAGGAUUAGAUACCCUGGUAGUCCACGCCGUAAACGGUGGGCGCUAGGUGUGGGUUCCUUCCACGGGAUCUGUGCCGUAGCUAACGCAUUAAGCGCCCCGCCUGGGGAGUACGGCCGCAAGGCUAA